rnacentral:lncRNA from 1 species
UUGUAAUGUCUUCUUUUUCAUUUCUGAUUUUGUUUAUUUGGGUAUUCUCUCUUUUUCUUGGUUAGCCUAGCUAACAGUUUACUGAUUUUGUUUACCUUUUCAAAAACAACUUUUAGUUUCGUUGACUCUUUGUAUUUUUUAGUCUCUAUUUCAUUUACUUCUGUUCUGAUCUUUUUUCUUCUAUGAAUUUUGAGUUUUAUUCUUGCUUUUCUAGUUCCUUGAGAUGCAUCAUUAGAUUAUUUAUAAUUUUUUAACUUUUUUGAUGUAAGCAUAUAUUGCUGUAAACUUUACUCUUAGCACUGCUUUUACUGUAUCCCACAGGUUUUGGCAUAUUGUG